rnacentral:siRNA from 1 species
GAUCAGAAUGUCUAUUAAAACAGA